rnacentral:rRNA from 1 species
UUUUUUGUGCAUAUCCAAUAAGCGGAGGAAAAGAAACCAACAGGGAUUGCCUUAGUAGCGGCGAGUGAAGCGGCAAAAGCUCAAAUUUGAAAUCUGGCACCUUCGGUGUCCGAGUUGUAAUUUGAAGAUUGUAACCUUGGGGUUGGCUCUUGUCUAUGUUUCUUGGAACAGGACGUCACAGAGGGUGAGAAUCCCGUGCGAUGAGAUGCCCAAUCCUAUGUAAGGUGCUUUCGAAGAGUCGAGUUGUUUGGGAAUGCAGCUCUAAGUGGGUGGUAAAUUCCAUCUAAAGCUAAAUAUUGGCGAGAGACCGAUAGCGAACAAGUACAGUGAUGGAAAGAUGAAAAGAACUUUGAAAAGAGAGUGAAAAAGUACGUGAAAUUGUUGAAAGGGAAGGGUUUGAGAUCAGACUCGAUAUUUUGUGAGCCUUGCCUUCGUGGCGGGGUGACCCGCAGCUUAUCGGGCCAGCAUCGGUUUGGGCGGUAGGAUAAUGGCGUAGGAAUGUGACUUUGCUUCGGUGAAGUGUUAUAGCCUGCGUUGAUGCUGCCUGCCUAGACCGAGGACUGCGAUUUUAUCAAGGAUGCUGGCAUAAUGAUCCCAAACCGCCCGUCUUGAACACCGGGACCAAA